GGCAGUGGUGGCUGAACGGUUAAGGCUCUGGAUUACUGUGCUGGGGUACUACUGGGGUUCAAGCCCCAGCACUGUCA